rnacentral:miRNA from 1 species
UGUGUGUGUGUGUGUGUGUGCAUGCAUGUGUGUGCAUGUGUACAUAUGUACGCACAUACACACACACAAACUCACUGCUG